UGAAGAUGCAGUGUACCCGCGGCUAGACGGAAAGACCCCGUGAACCUUUACUACAGCUUGGCACUGAACAUUGAACCUACAUGUGUAGGAUAGGUGGGAGGCUUUGAAGACAUGACGCUAGUUGUGUUGGAGCCGUCCUUGAAAUACCACCCUUGUAUGUUUGAUGUUCUAACUUAGCCCCGUUAUCCGGGGUGAGGACAGUGCCUGGUGGGUAGUUUGACUGGGGCGGUCUCCUCCCAAAGAGUAACGGAGGAGCACGAAGGUGGGCUAAUCACGGUUGGACAUCGUGAGGUUAGUGCAAUGGCAUAAGCCCGC
rnacentral:rRNA from 1 species